AGGGUUCCGUAGCCAAAUGGCAAAAAACGGAACCCUUAUGGAUUCGUCAUGUCUGUCUGUCUGUCUGUCCGUCUGUCUGUCCGUCCGUAUGUCACAGCCACUUUUUUCCGAAACUAUAAGAACUAUACUGUUGAAACUUGGUAAGAUGUAUUCUGUGAACCGCAUUAAGAUUUUCACACAAAAAUAGAAAAAAAAAAACAAUAAAUUUUGGGGGUUCCCCAUACUUAGAACUGAAACUCAUAAGAUAGGAUAGGUCCAUAGGAUAGGUCUUCAAAAAUGAUAUUAAGGUUUCUAAUAUCAUUUUUUUCUAAACUGAAUAGUUUGCGCGAGAGACACUUCCAAAGUGGUAAAAUGUGUCCCCCCCCCCUGUAACUUCUAAAAUAAGAGAAUGAUAAAACUAAAAAAAAAUAUAUGAUGUAUAUUACCAUGCAAACUUCCACCGAAAAUUGGUUUGAACAAGAUCUAGUAAAUAGUUUUUUUUUAAUACGUCA